AUAGCUUCGGCUCAAAGAGGGGGACCUUCGGGCCUCUCGCGUCAGGAUAUGCCCAGGUGGGAUUAGCUAGUUGGUGAGGUAAGGGCUCACCAAGGCGACGAUCCCUAGCUGGUCUGAGAGGAUGAUCAGCCACACUGGAACUGAGACACGGUCCAGACUCCUACGGGAGGCAGCAGUGGGGAAUAUUGCACAAUGGGCGCAAGCCUGAUGCAGCCAUGCCGCGUGUGUGAAGAAGGCCUUCGGGUUGUAAAGCACUUUCAGUCGUGAGGAAGGUAGUGUGUUUAAUAGAUGCAUUAUUUGACGUUAGCGACAGAAGAAGCACCGGCUAACUCCGUGCCAGCAGCCGCGGUAAUACGGAGGGUGCGAGCGUUAAUCGGAAUUACUGGGCGUAAAGCGCAUGCAGGUGGUGUGUUAAGUCAGAUGUGAAAGCCCGGGGCUCAACCUCGGAAUUGCAUUUGAAACUGGCAGACUAGAGUACUGUAGAGGGGGGUAGAAUU
rnacentral:rRNA from 1 species